CUCCUGCCGCAGCUCCUCGUCGAUCUCCUGCUCCAGCCGCACCAGGGUGGGCGCCGCCACGCCGAAGCGCCAGGCUCGGCGGCCCAGCUCCAGCAGGCACAGCACCACGUUCUUCACGUUCUUGCGUAGCACCAGGUGUCUCAGCCAGGAAGGCCAGGGCGGCCUCAGUGACAGCAUUGGCGUGCCGGCACAGCACCAAGCCUGUCUCCAGGACCUGCAGGAAGUUGGCCACGUUGAUGUCCAGUCCGUAGAGAUCCCGAAGCCACUCUGCCAGGUCCUCUGUCAUGGCCUCCAGGCGAGCCCAGGACUUCCGGCUCUGCUCCUUGCCGCUGGCUUCAGCUCGGCCCCCGCCCCCCACAUUCUUCAGUGCCUGCCGGAACUUUCCCUACUUGGUGGCCAUGCAGUGACCUCACUCUGGAGCUGCCCAGUUCGCCCAGAGUUCGCCACCUCCCAGGACAGAUGGAGGUAGUAGGUGGAGCUGCCUUGAAAUCCGGGAAGGUGGGCCCAGCCCCAGAAGAGGAACCGUGAUAGGUUCCAGUCAAUCAUGGCAGAGCUAAGAUCGACGUUUCUGCGGGGCUCCGAGACGCAGUAGACGCAGUAAACCAAAAAGGAAUAAGACUAUGCAGACUUUGUCACGGUAUUAUCCAGAAGCGGUCACUUGACACUCAGAUUUCUGUCCCGCUCGAGUAUGUCAAGAGCUGGGUUGUCGCAGGGCAGGAGAGGAUUUACAGAGAACUGCGGCUGUGCCGCGUGCCCCGUGGGAGGCCACAUAAUGGCCCCCGGAGAGAGCUGCGUCCUAAUGCCCAAAGGGACUGUGCGGAUGUGGUUACAGAUCUCGAGAUGGGGAGAUAAGCCUUAAAUGGAAUCACAAGUGUGAGGCAGAGGGAGUCUGACUGCAGAAGUAGGAGACGUGCCCGUCGAGGCAGAGACUGAGGGGGCCCGGAGCCAGGCACUCCACAGCCUCUAGAAGUUGGAAGAAGCAAGGAGCAGAUUCUCUGGUAGAGCCCCAGAAGGAACCGGGCCUGCCAACACCUCGAUGUUUAUUCCUGUAAGACUCCUUUCAGACUUCUGACCUUCAGAACUGCAAAAGAAUAACUGUUUUUUAAAAAAGAUUUCAUUUAUUUGACAGGGAGGGAGAGAGAGAGGGCACAAGCAGGGGGAGCAGCAGAGGGAGAGAGAGAAGCAGACUCCCCGCUGAGCAGAGAGCCCAACGUGGGGCUCGAUCCCAGGACCCCGGGAUCAUGACCUGAGCUGAAGGCAGAUGCUCAACCGACUGAGCCCCCCAGGCGCCCUAACUGUGUUGUUUGAAGCCGCUACAUGGGUGGUAAUUUGUUGCAGCCUCAAUAGGAAACUAAUGCCUAUCACCAUCUCCCCCGCCCAAACAAGGGGAAAAGCAGAGAGAGGGGCUUCAAUGGGACCAAAGAACUAGAUGUUUAUCCCCAGUCACUAGGGAGACUCAAUGAACUGGAGUCUGUCUGACUCCUGUGUGGGAACUCGACAGUGCGAACUCUGGGCUGGCUAGUUGCUCCGGGCUGGGGACCAAGGAGAGGGCUGUGCUGGGAUCAGCAGUCUCUCAUAGCUGGAACAGAGGAUGGGUGAGUGCUUCUUGUGUGCCACUCGGCCAGGGAAGGGGUCAGUAGAGGGGAAGCUGGCAGUGGACCAGUGGAUUCCCAGGGGUGCAGGGGGGAUGAAUGACCCCAGAAUCCAGUGUAUCCUCCUGGAUUCAAGGGACUGCCUGGAUUGGGGCAGGAAAGGCAAACACCAGUGGCUGGUGAGCUGAGAAGGAAGGGAAACAGAGCAAGAGGGUGGAAGGACCUGUCACUCCAUCACACUGUGGCCACUGGUCAUGGCAGGCCUCAGCCGGGGGGAGAUGUAACAUUAUAUCAACUUUCAGUGACCACAGUGGCUGCUUUUCCAUGGCCUGAGAGUUCUCUGAACAAGUCAUCAGACCUGUCUGAAUUGUCCUCCAGGGACACAGGAAGGAAGCUUUCUGCCCCUUGAGCAGGUUUAAAGGGACUAUAGGAGGUAAAAAAAAAAAAAAAAAAAAAAAAAAAUUUAUGACUAUACUCCCCGAGUCCUACUUGAUCAGAGGUACCAAUUACAGCCAGGCCAGGUCAAUCUUGGCCAUCCCAUUUCUUUUCUCAAACGGUUGGUUUAGGAUGGGUGCGUGCCUCGGUUCUGGCCAAUUGAGGCUCAAAGAGAAGCCUUCUGGAGGGUUUCUGAGAAGCCCCGGCCCUGCAGAGCCUUACUUUCUGCUUUGGUCCUGAUUGCUCCAGGCCAGGAUGCUUGGAGCUGCAGCAGCCAUUUUGCAACCAAGAAGAGAGGCAAACAAGGCAGAGGAGAAAGAUGAAAAGAUGUCUGGGUCCCUCACAACCUCAUCAUGCCACUGAACCAAUCCUGGAGCUCCCCCAUUUCUGACUUCUUAAGUGAACUAAUACAUUUUAUAAGACUUAAGCCAUUAUUAGUCAGACACUCUGAUAUUCCACCAACUAAAUACAUCCUAACUGACAUGAUGUUCAAACGGGAAGAGUCUUGUAUGUAUAUACAAAGUCUUGUUAUAUAUAUUCCCACUUGGGUGGCCCUUACAUACCACCUUAUUGGGUAGUUCGUCUUGUAACUUAUCUUUAUUGCUCAACUAAAAUGAUUACAGCAUCUCUGUGUUACACCUGGUUAUUACAAGUUAAUGAGCUAUACGUACUAUUAAUUUACAUGUGAAAAUCUAAAAAAUAACAAAAAUUACAGCUUUAGGGGCAUCUGGGUGGCUCAGUCAGUUAAGCAUCUGACUCUUGAUCUCAGCUCAAGGCUUGAUCUCGGUGUCAUGAGUUCAAGCCCACCCUGGUCGUAGAGCCUGCUUUAAAAAAAAAAAACAUAUAUAUAUAUAUAUUUACUUUUAUACGUAUAUUUACUUUUGACAAUUGAUCUCAUUUUGUUCUCUUGAUUUCUGUGAAUGGCAGGAAAUAAUGCUUGUGCCAGCCAAUAAAAUGUAGCUCGUUCUCUUCUGGUUUUAAGCAGUUUCUUUUGGAUAGAGCUC